GACGAACGCUGGCGGCGUGCCUAAUACAUGCAAGUCGAACGAGAGCAACCGGUGCUUGCACUGGUCAAUCUAGUGGCGAACGGGUGAGUAACACGUGGGUAACCUGCCCAUCAGAGGGGGAUAACAUCCGGAAACGGAUGCUAAAACCGCAUAGGUCUUCGAACCGCAUGGUUUGAAGAGGAAAAGAGGCGCAAGCUUCUGCUGAUGGAUGGACCCGCGGUGCAUUAGCUAGUUGGUGAGGUAACGGCUCACCAAGGCCGUGAUGCAUAGCCGACCUGAGAGGGUGAUCGGCCACAUUGGGACUGAGACACGGCCCAAACUCCUACGGGAGGCAGCAGUAGGGAAUCUUACGCAAUGGACGCAAGUCUGACGGAGCAACGCCGCGUGAGUGAAGAAGGUGUUCGGAUCGUAAAACUCUGUUGUUAGAGAAGAACAAGUGCUAGAGUAACUGUUAGCGCCUUGACGGUAUCUAACCAGAAAGCCACGGCUAACUACGUG
rnacentral:rRNA from 1 species